CAACAAACAGGAAUUAAACAAGAAUGAUUAUAACACGCCAACCUGAAUGAAGAUUGGUCUUAUCUAAGCCUUGCUUGCCUUCUCAAUCCAACAGCUGAUCAACAUCAAAUAAAGUUCCCAGCUUUAUCCUUUACUGGUAGUAUUUUUUCCUUUUGAAAACUCUAGUUGUCUUCUUCUCUGCAGAGAGAGGGUGAAGAACUAAGAAUGGAGACACCAGGGGAUUGGCUGGAGAAAGCUUUGGUGGAAUUGGGUAAGAAGAUGGAGACGGGUUUGGGUUUGGAUUUGGAUUUGGAUAGGGAAAUCAUAUCUGGUUUAGUCUCUUAUUGCGAGAUGGCUCAGCCCCUUGAUGCCAAAGAAUAUCUUGAUAAUUUUAUUGGCCAGGAAGCAGGAAAAAGAGUGACUGAAGAGUACUUGCGGCGGAGAGGUCACACAGAUCUCUGCAGUGGCAGUUCAGCGAUACCAACUUCAAAAUUUCAAGCCUAUGUCAAACCACCUUCUGGUGAAAGCUCUGUCAGUGGAACUACGAAACAAUUUAAAACUCCAAAAGAGGCCACAGGCUCCAGUCAUCAGGCUGAACCUAAAAAGAAUGCCAUUUCUGGUAAUCAGGAAAACAGAGCCCUGAAUGCUACUAGCGAUUCAGGAAAUAAUCAUAAAGGAAACCAAGGUAAUUCUAAAAAGAAGAAAGCUGGUAAAGUUGUUUCACUUGCUGAGGCAGCCAAAGGGUCAAUUGUCUUUCAGCAGGGGAAACCGUGCUUGUGCCAAGCUCGUCGGCACAGACUGAUUGGAAACUGUCUUUCCUGUGGUAAGAUAGUCUGUGAGCAGGAGGGAGAGGGGCCUUGCAAUUUCUGUGGUGCUCCAGUGCUUAGAGAAGGAAGCACAUAUGCUGGUUUAGAGGGAAGCUUCACUCUCUUAUCAGAUGCUGAAGCAGCAGCUGAAGCUUAUGCAAAAAGGCUUGUUGAAUAUGACAGAAACUCUACAGCACGAACAACAGUUAUUGAUGACCAAAGUGACUACUAUGAGAUUGACAGCAACAGCUGGCUGUCAAAAGAGGAGAAGGAACUUCUGAAGAAGAAACAAGAGGAGAUUGAAGAAGCUGAGCGCUUGAAACGGAGUAAAGUGGUUGUGACUUUUGAUUUGGUCGGGCGCAAGGUCCUAUUGAAUGAAGAUGAAGUUUCAGAACUAGAAUCAGAGAACAGGAUACUUCUUCGGCCACCAGAUGAAAGAGAAAUGAACAGAAUUAAACCUAAUCCAAACCUUAGAGUGCAACCAGCCUUUCUAAAUCCAGCCCCCAGCAAGAAACCUUUUAAGAGUAAACAGCCAAGUAAGAGCCCAGGCAAUGGCUUGUGCUUGGAGAUUACUGGAAGGGUGCAGCAUGACAGCAAUGAACUGAAAUAUUUUAUGACGAAAAAACAGAUAGAAGCAGCUUGAAAUGGAAGCUGAGCAAGGACGCAUUAGUAGAUGACUAAAGGGUGGUCUGCAUGCAGCAAAUGAUGUAAAUCAAUGCAAUAGCCAUGGGCUAAAUGAAGCACAAGAGUUGAGAAGAGUUAGAGCCGAUCAGCCAAGUGUACUGUUAAAACCCUAGCCAUAAUCUUAAGUGAUGCCAAGCUUACUGGAGAGGGAUACUCCAACUUGCGUACUAGAUGACCACAAUCAAAGUGGUAAGUCAAGUAAAUAGCAUAUGCCUAAUGCAUCUAAAACAAAGCAGUGUGAUAUAUGUUAAAAGAUUGAGGCAAACAACAAGGGCAGUGCGUGAGAUAGAACAAAGAGCGGUUAAGUAGUUUUCCUUUUACAUUUAGAUAAGCGUUUCGCUGUUGAAGCAACAAACU